rnacentral:snRNA from 1 species
AUCUCUUUGCCAUUUGGCUUAGAUCAAGUGUAGUAUCUGUUCUUCUCAGUGUAACAGCUGAGACGUCAUCAUUGAUGACUUUACAUUAUUAUGAGAUUUUUGGACUUUCCGGGGCCGGGACCGAUGGGCUUGCUCACACCUGGCUCCACAGUGUCGUUACCAUUGCACACCUCGGUUUCUGACGCAACCAAGU